rnacentral:rRNA from 1 species
AUGGCCGGAAGGAAGGGCGGCGACAGGAAGAAGGCGGUGACCAGGUCCGUCAAGGCCGGGCUCCAGUUCCCCGUCGGCCGCAUCGGGCGCUACCUCAAGAAGGGCCGCUACGCGCAGCGCGUCGGCUCCGGCGCCCCCGUCUACCUCGCCGCCGUCCUCGAGUACCUCGCUGCCGAGGUCCUGGAGCUUGCCGGCAACGCUGCCAAGGACAACAAGAAGACCCGAAUCAUCCCGCGCCACCUGCUGCUCGCCGUCCGCAACGACCAGGAGCUCGGCAAGCUGCUCGCCGGCGUCACCAUCGCCCACGGUGGCGUGAUCCCCAACAUCAACUCCGUGCUGCUCCCCAAGAAGUCCCCCGCCGCCGCUGAGAAGGAGGCCAAGUCGCCCAAGAAGAAGACCACCACCAAGUCCCCCAAGAAGAAGACCGCCGCCACCAAGGAGUAG